rnacentral:rRNA from 1 species
UACGUGAGGGGCGAACGUUGUUCGGUGUCACUGGGCUUAAAGGGCGCGUAGGUGGUUGCGUAAGUAACGUGUGAAAUCCCUCGGCUUACCCGGGGAAUUGCAUGUUAUACUGCGUGGCUUGAGGAUCUCAGGGGAAAGGGGAACUCCAGGUGUAGCGGUGAAAUGCGCAGAUAUCUGGGGGAAGGCCGGCGGCGAAGGCGCCUUACUGGACGAUAACUGACGCUGAGACGCGAAAGCGUGGGGAGCAAACAGG